rnacentral:lncRNA from 1 species
GGGAGUGGACGUAGGUGCCUUGGGGUGCACCGAACCACUAUACAUCGUGGUGUUUGUGUUGUGGAUUCACUUGUGAUUAUUCUUGCAUUAUCUUUCAUCUUUGCUAUAGUUUAAUUCAUUGAAGUAAUUUAAGAAAGCAUUCACCGCACUCAACUAAGGAUGUUUAUAAAGCACUAAAAAUUUAGAAAAACCCAAUUCACCCCCCCUC